ACUACAAUCACCAAGAGCUAAAGAAAACCCAAACUGUGAACAAGAAUAAUCGAAUAAUAAAAUGACAGAGUCUGAAACACAAGUACAGUGACAUGACCCAUACCAAGAAGUGGCAAGACUGUCCAAGGGUCAGCCAGCCUGUCAGUCCCUGAGAGCACGAUACAAUGUCUGUUGAUAGGUAGUCACACAUGUGUCCAAUGAAAAAAACAAAAAAAAAAAAACUUGUGAAUUUCUUUCCAUUGGCAUGAAAAUAUGUCCUUUUUUAUGCAGAUCAGCUGUUGGAUGUGAUGCAAUGACAAAAUGAGUAAAUGAACACACUACAGAGUGCAUAUCACUGAGUGCCAAUUAAGGGACCAACGCGUGACUGAGGUCCAUCCACAUCAAACUCUUUCUGUCAUGUCUGGUGACUCCAUGUUUAUGUUUUGUGUUUAUCAAUUUUUAGUGUUUUCUAGUUUUUUGGUGUUUUUUUUUUUCCAGUGUUUAGGUGUUCUCUGUGCGCCCUUUGUUUUCAUGCUAUUUUACUUGACGGUCCCUUGUCUCAUGUCUGUGUCUCUAGCCUCCCCUUGUCUUGUCAAGUGUGAUCAGUCCCAGCUGUGCUCUCCUCCUGUGUCCAUUCCCUCGUUAUCCCUCAGUGUAUUUUAGCCCUGUGUUUCUCUCUGUUAGUGCCGCGUCGUCUCCUUAUGCUGUGUGGGUUUCUCCUGUUGGGCUCCCUGAGAUCACCAUCCCUAGUUUCCCAGUGUUUUGCUUUUAGGUCCCAGUUUCUAGGUUUUAGUUUGGUUUUUUAAGUGUUUUUUUGUGUAAGUUGCAGUAAAGCAGCCUCCUUCAGUUCAUCCCCGUGUUUGAAUUCUGCACUUGGGUCCUUUCUCCUGAGUGCCACAGCAGAGAAAGGACGGCAGUGACUACAUUACAUUCCUCCAUGUAAAUUCCAAUUGGUAAGUUGUGGAGCAGGAAGUGAGCAAAAAAUGUCCGUUUACAUUCCUGCUGCAAUUUUUACAUUUUCCAACAGCUUUGUUUGUUUUUUCAUGACAGAGUUCUAGGUUGACAUUAAAGUGUAUAUUAACUCUCUGAGGUCUAACUAGUAAUAACGAAUGUGAAAAUAAAACCAAAAAAUCCCCCAAACGACAUAUUUGGUUUUAUUAGGAUUAAUGUUUGUUUCAUUGCUGAUGAAGACUAAAACCUCAGAAGUUGAACCCGAGCCAUGACAAAGUCGGUGUGGCAGCUUAUUAACUAAGGUACCAAGCAAAACGUUCUUGCAAAUUAGGAGUAAAAUCUGAUGUUUUAGUGCUGUUCACAAGUCAUUAUUUGCAAGUCUCAAGUCUCUAACGGCUGAAAUUGAUGUUCUAACGUCCAAUAAACACCAAAUGGUCUCCCCAAAACAACUUGUGUUAUGUUAUAUGGUUUGUGCUGUAUUGAUGCUCCACAAUUAGAGCACACUCACUUAAGAGGACUGUUUCAAUAAACAUGAAUAAAAACAAGUAAAGUGAAAACUUGCUCAGUUGAAGUCGAUAAAUUUGAACUUUAUUGUUUGUUACAGCUGGAUGCAAGACUCG
ensembl:lncRNA